AUGCUCUCAACGCUGUGGCACUCGUGCAGCCCGGCCGCCGGCGCCGACCCAAUGGCCGGCUUCACCGCCGUCGAGAUCACGGAGGACCGGUUCAAGCUCCACAAGCCGUACGACCUGCCGCAGGAGCAGCGCAACAAGCUCUGCGCCGACGGCGUGCAGCGGCUCUGGGUCUACUGCGACGACAAGCCCUUCCGCGCCAGCAGCCCCACCAAGCUGCGCUGUUCCGGGGUGGAGCAGAUAACGUACAGCUCUGGGGUGUGGCAGUUCGAGGGGUACGACUACGUGCCGGCCGGCACAACCAGGGUGUCCGUGAUGCUGGUGUUCGGCCUGGCAGGCCGGAACACGACACUGAUGCUGCACGUCUACGGCGGACGGCUCGUGUACUACAACGAUGAGACCAAGGUGGUCGACAGACACAACUACGACUGGUGGUUCAGGCUCAACUUGGUCCACAACAUCCAAGCGUCGGCCCUCACCGUGUUCAUCGACGGCGACGAGAUGCUGAUCGUGCUGGGCUACGGCAGCGACUUCCACUACUUCAAGUUUGGGGUGUACACGCAGACAAACCCCUCGCACUACAUGGAGUCGCGGUGGAGGGAUCUCAACGUCUACACCAAGACUCCCUACUGA
rnacentral:rRNA from 1 species